rnacentral:rRNA from 1 species
UACGAAGGGUGCAAGCGUUACUCGGAAUUACUGGGCGUAAAGCGUGCGUAGGCGGUUUGUUAAGUCCGCUGUGAAAGCCCUGGGCUCAACCUGGGAAUUGCAGUGGAUACUGGCAAGCUAGAGUGCGGUAGAGGAUGGUGGAAUUCCCGGUGUAGCGGUGAAAUGCAUUGAGAUCAGAAAGAACACCAACGGCGAAAGCACUCUGCUGGGCCGACACUGACACUGAGAGACGAAAGCUAGGGGAGCAAAUGGG